rnacentral:rRNA from 1 species
GACGAACGCUGGCGGCGUGCCUAACACAUGCAAGUCGAACGGAAAGGCCCUGCUUUUGUGGGGUGCUCGAGUGGCGAACGGGUGAGUAACACGUGAGUAACCUGCCCUUGACUUUGGGAUAACUUCAGGAAACUGGGGUUAAUAUCGGACAGGAGCUCCUGCAGCAUGGUGGGGGUGGGAAAGUUUAGGCGGUUGGGGAUGGACUCGCGGCUUAUCAGCUUGUUGGUGGGGUAGUGGUUUACCAAGGCUUGGACGGGUAGCCGGCCUGAGAGGGUGACCGGCCACAAUGGUACUGCGGUACGGCCCAGACGCCUACGGGAGGCAGCGGUGGGAAAUAUUGCACAAUGGGCGGAAGCCGGAUACAGCGACGCCGCGUGCGGGAUGACGGCCUUCGGGUUGUAAACCGCUUUCGCCUGUGACGAAGCGUGAGUGACGGUAAUGGGUAAAGAAGCACCGGCUAACUACGUG